AUGGAAAUGGAAUCAGAACAAAUUCGUUUCGAAAACAUAAUUUGUCACGAAAAUAAAAUGAGAUUCAGAACCACGAUAUGCUAGACUAACAGAAUUUAAGAUUGGAAAGCAAAUUGAGUAUAGUUUCAACAGAUUUGGAGAAAAUUACUUGAGAAUGUAUUAGUUUCUUAACAAGAUAAUGAAAAUUCUAGUUAAAAUAUGACAUAAGCUGCAAUGUAUCUCAACCAUUAACUGCACUUCUAUGCUCUCCUCUAAUGCUCAUAACUUAUUCAUUCACAUGUGCUGUUGCUUAAAAUUUGGGGGAAAAAAAUACCACGAACCUGCUGCUCAGCUACACUAUUG
rnacentral:misc_RNA from 1 species